AGGACAAGCGGUUUGGAAAAUUGAUGGCUGGAUGGAAGGAGAGUCAAUCUACGCUCACAAAUGUUCUGCUCUUAAAUUCUGGCACUCGAAAAUUGAGUGAAUUAAUGUGCAGCAAGAUUUGGCUUUGGACCAAGAUAUGUAGAAAAGCAUAAAUAUCAUUCACAAUUUCACAUCUUCCCUAAUAAUUAAAUUUACUGAUUGACCUGACAGAAUACCCCUAAUAUGAUGUUACUGAGCAAAAAUUAACAGUGAUGAUAAAGUUCCCAAUACAGCAAUAUUUCUGACACAAACUACAGGUACAUGUCUACUGGUCCAUUCAUAAUGGAUGAGAUACAAAAGCUAAUUGCUAUUAAAGGAAUAGUUCACUCAAAAAUGAAAAUGUACUGAGAAUUUACUUACCCUCAGGCUAUCUGUUUUUUUGUUUGUUUGUUUUUUGUAACAGAUUUAAAGAAAUUUAGCAUUACAUCCCUUGCUCACCACUGGAUCCUCUGCAGCGAAUGGGUGCCGUCAGAAUUAGACUGUUGAUUUUGCUUCUGAUCUCUCUCCUGAUUCAGAUAAGAUAACUUUUUCACUGGAGAAAGAAAUAUUAUGGAUAGACCCAUAUUUUAGCAAAGGUUUCAAGUAAAACGUAUUAAUGAUGGAUUUGUUUUUAUCAGCUGUUUGGGCUAUCAUUUCUGAUGGCACCCAUUCCCUGCAUGGUGAGCAAGCAAUGUAUUUUUCCAAAUCUGUUCCAAUGAAGAAACAAAUUCAUCUACAUUUUGGAUGGCAUGAAGGUGAAUACAUUUUCAGCAUUUUUGUGUGUGUGUGUGUGUGAGAGAAAUAUUCCUUUAACUCAAUGACAAUAAACCGUCCACACAUUUUCAUUCAAAGAUAAUGAUGUGGAAAAAAUUAUAAUCACUUCACUGUUCGACAUUUCUGUAAUUUCCACAGUUAUUUACUGUGUAUCACCCAGUAUAAUACUGCAAAUUCCCUUUACAGUAAAUAACUGUAAUAGCCUUUGCAUCAUGGGAAUCUUCUGUGACGUCAGACCCCACAUACAGAGACUUACUGUAUUUAAUAUAUAUAAUGGGUUCUAUGUUGAUUUUUAUCGAGUCGCGCCUCGCCGCGCCGCGCCACUCGCAUCCGAGGAAGACACGGAAGCAGCGGGCAGCGCUGCGGGUUUUGCCCGGGGAUGAACACGCCAGAGUGGGAGAGCUCCGGAGAACAUCUGCGCUGUGUGUCGAUGCACUUUACAAGAGAAAAAGACCAGCAAGCAAGGCAACUGCAAUGAAGCAUCAAGAAAGACAUGAGCAGGCCAGCCACCCUGAGACUGAUAAUUCAUGAGAAGACAUUUCUGUCAAAGUGGAUGGUGAGCAAAGAUGGUGGCCACGUUUUGGAGCAGCACCUGGGUUUUGCAGGCCGCUAUGUAUUCUUUGGCUGUUUGUCUUUUUUCCCCAUUAUGUUUCUGUUGCCUAAAGAUUCUUUGUGAUUAUAAAUCACAACAAAAUGCACUGCAAAACGUCCUAAGACAGGAGAAAUGGUGAAGAUGCACUGUUCCAGCAUUGGAAGACUGUAUUUUUAAGUGUUAUACAUGCAAUGUUUUAAAUAAAGAAUUUGAUAUUUUGUAAUUGUGUCUGUUUUAAUUGAAUGCCAGUAGUACCUAUGUAGAGUAAAAAUAAAAUGAAUUCUAUGUAAAAAUUAUAAAAUCUAAUGAAAUCUAUAUUAAAAUGAAUGAAUUACAGUAGUAUACUGAUAAAUCAAAUACAGUUUGCUACUGUAAGUCUUAAUUACAGUAGCUUACUGGCAACAGUGUUGCCAGUAAGUUAGUGUAAAAACCCUUUAAAGUGUCUAACAGUGUUGUUAUCAUCUAUUUUGUAUGUCAAUAAAUAAAUACCUGAAAAAAUACAAUACAAACAAGAAGGCACUUUCCUGUGUCGAAAUAGCUGACUUAGUAUUUAUUGAUUAAUGCACCACAGUACAGAUGAUGAAAUCGUCUCACAACAGGGAGCUUGGAGUGCAGCCUGAUCAUCCACAUGGCAGCGUUCUAUCAUGACAGUGGGGCAAUAUUGACUUAUUGACCAUGUGGUCCACAACUCCUACACAGAGGUUAACACAACCUGAAUAACAAACCCUGAUGCACUCCCACUCUCAUAUUUUUAAUGGGGUUGACGUUUAUACAUUUUUAUAAUAAAAAUCCUUAAUAACCUUUUAUCAUAAGGUUUCUUGCUUCUGUUUUACUACUUUAACAGGAAAAUAAAAGGCAGGAAACAGAAGCAAUAAUACCUUUUCUUAUGGUUUUAUUGACUUUUUUUGUCAAUAAAAGUGCAAAUUUGCACUUUUCUUUGUUUGCCCCUUUUGGACACAUUUUUUUGUGUCUUUGUUAAAGAGUAAUUACAUAAAUGAGUACUGAGAUUUAACUUACUGGAAUUUAAUUACUAUAGCUUUAGGGUAAAGGUUUGGUUUAGUGUUAGCUUGAAGUUAUGCAUAAUUUAUUACUAUAGUUAUUACUAAAUGUAACCUGUGUUACAUGUACCAGGGACACAUUAAAGUGUUGUCCAGUUAUUUAUUAUUAUUAUUAUUAUUAUUAUUGUUCCAUGUGUUUAUUUAUGUACCUCUGUAAUAUACCUGUUUUAAUUUUUACCUGACCUACAUUUCCAGUUCUUACAAUAUUUAAGUAAAGAGGACUACAAAAUACCUUUCAU